rnacentral:rRNA from 1 species
UACGGGGGGGGCAAGCGUUGUUCGGAAUUACUGGGCGUAAAGGGCUCGUAGGUGGCCAACUAAGUCGGACGUGAAAUCCCUCAGCUUAACUGGGGAACUGCGUCCGAUACUGGAUGGCUUGAGUUUGGGAGAGGGAUGCGGAAUUCCAGGUGUAGCGGUGAAAUGCGUAGAUAUCUGGAGGAACACCGGUGGCGAAGGCGGCAUCCUGGACCGGCAUUGACGCUGAGGCGCGAAAGCCAGGGGAGCAGACGGG